GGGCCCGCACAAGCGGUGGAGCAUGUGGUUCAAUUCGAAGCAACGCGAAGAACCUUACCUGGGUUCGAAAUGCAGUCGUAAGCCUCAGAGAUGAGGUCCCCUCUUCGGAGGCGGCUGUAUAGGUGCUGCAUGGCUGUCGUCAGCUCGUGUCGUGAGAUGUUGGGUUAAGUCCCGCAACGAGCGCAACCCUUGUCCAUAGUUGCUAACGCGUAGUGGCGAGAACUCUAUGGAGACUGCCGGUGAUAAACCGGAGGAAGGUGGGGAUGACGUCAAGUCCUCAUGGCCUUUAUGUCCAGGGCUACACACGUGCUACAAUGGACGGUACAAAGAGUCGCGAUCCCGUGAGGGGGAGCUAAUCUCAAAAAGCCGUUCUCAGUUCGGAUUGUUCUCUGCAACUCGAGAGCAUGAAGCUGGAAUCGCUAGUAAUCGCGGAUCAGCACGCCGCGGUGAAUACGUUCCCGGGCCUU
rnacentral:rRNA from 1 species